rnacentral:rRNA from 1 species
AUUGAACGCUGGCGGCAGGCCUAACACAUGCAAGUCGAACGAGUGGCGGACGGGUGAGUAAUGUCUGGGAAACUGCCUGAUGGAGGGGGAUAACUACUGGAAACGGUAGCUAAUACCGCAUACCAUCAGCUGUGCCCAGAUGGGAUUAGCUAGUUGGUGGGGUAAAGGCUAACCAAGGCGACGAUCCCUAGCUGGUCUGAGAGGAUGACCAGCCACACUGGAACUGAGACACGGCCCAGACUCAUACGGUAGGCAGCAGUGGGGAAUAUUGGCCAAUGGGGGCAAGCCUGAUGCAGCCAUGCCGCGUGUAUGAAGAAGGCCUUCGGGUUGUAAAGUACUUUCAGCGGGGAGGCGGUACCCGCAGAAGAAGCAACGGCUAACUCCGUGCCAGCAGCCGCGGUAAUUC